rnacentral:rRNA from 1 species
UAGUCAUAUGCUUGUUUCAAGGACUAAGCCAUGCAUGCCUCAGAAUAACUGCAUUGCAGGAAUCUGCGCAUGGCUCAUUACAUCAGACGUAAUCUGCCGCAAAAAAUUGCGGAUCUUCCGUAUCAUUGGAUAACUUGGCGAAACGUCAAGCUAAUACAUGAACAUACUUGGUUCUCCCCUCGCGGGGGCCUAGCGAAUGAAUGAAACUAAAACCAACGCCGCGUAUCCGAGCAGCACUAGCAGUGUUGACUCAAUUCAUUCUGCGUAACGGGGCAACCUGCUUUUGACGAACAACUGCCCUAUCAUGCUCGUUGACAGUGUAGUGAACUGCCAAGGCUUUGACCGGAGCGGGGGAUUAGGGUUCGAUUCCGGAGAGGGAGCCUGAGAAAUAGCUACCACUUCUACGGGAGGCAGCAGGCGCGCAAAUUGCCCAAUGUCGAAAAAAACGAUGAGGCAGCGAAAAGAAAUAGGGCUAGCAGACGGUUUGCGUAUGCGUGUACAAUGGGGGGUAUUUAAUACCACCGAAAAUCGAGUAACAAUUGGAGGACAAGUCUGUGCCAGCACCCGCGGUAAUUCCAGCUCCAAAAGCGUAUAUUAACGCUGUUGCUGUUAAAGGGUUCGUAGUUGAAUUGUGAGCCGUUGAGACGCCGUUACGUCCUGCCUUGUGUAGGGCCUCGGCGCUUGGGCUCGUGAACAUCCGAAACACGUAGCACGGGAAUGGUUCCUACCCCAUUUUCGCAUGUCAUGCAUGCGGGUGGCGCCCGUGGUUUUACUGUGACUAAAAAAGCGCGACCAAAGCAGUCGUCCGACCUGAAUUAUCAAGCAUGGGAUAACAAAUACCCUAUGGUUCUGCCCAUUGGCUUUUGUUGGUUUUAAGGUUACCAUGGACAUUAUAGAGUGGGGUGCCCCUCACGGGGUAUUCUGCGUCGGGGCAACUCGGGGUGGCGCCUUCAUUCUACGAAUGAAGGAGGGUUGUUCGGGGGUAAACGUACGGUUGCGUUAGAGGUGAAAUUCGUAGACCGCAAUCAGACGAACUACAGCGAAGGCAUUUACCAAGGAUACCUUCCUCAAUCAAGAACCAAAGUGUGGAGAUAAAAGAUGAUUAGAGACCAUUGUAGUCCACACCACAAACGGUGACACCCAUGAAUUGGGGAGUUUUUGGUAGCGGCGGGGCGGUUUCGUACCGUUCCCUCGUCGCUCCAAUGAUCUUAACUUACGUACAUAUUCGACAUGGAGUCCGCUCUGCGCGGGCUCCAGUUACGGGAAUAUCCUCAGCACGUUUUCUUUACCUUCACGCGAAAGCUUUGAGGUUAUAGUCUCAGGGGGGAGUACGUUCGCAAGUGUGAAAUUAAAGAUAUUGAUGGAAUGGCACCACAAGACGUGGAGCGUGCGGUUUAAUUUGAGUCAACACGGGGAACUUUACCAGAUCCGGAGUGGGUGAGGAUUGACAGAUUGAUAGCUCUUUCUCGAUCCCUACAAUGGUGGUGCAUGGCCGCUUUUGGUCGGUGGAGUGAUUUGUUUGGUUGAUUCCGUCAACGGACGAGAUCCAAGCUGCCCAGUAGGAACAAGGAUUGCCCAAUCAAGACAGCGAUCUUCUCUCGACCUCGGUCGGGAGGAGCUACCUCUGGUUUGUUUCUUCUCUGCAGGAUUCCUUGCCCUCCGCAAGGUGAGAUUUUGGGCAACAGCAGGUCUGUGAUGCUCCUCGAUGUUCUGGGCGACACGCGCACUACAAUGUCAGUGAGAACAAGAUUCCCGUAACAAGGAGUCCCGCGUUCAAAGACGCGGGAAUCACGGAAUCACGUAGACCCGAUUGGGACCGAGGAUUGCAAUUAUUGGUCGCGCAACGAGGAAUGUCUCGUAGGCGCAGCUCAUCAAACUGCGCCGAUUACGUCCCUGCCAUUUGUACACACCGCCCGUCGUUGUUUCCGAUUGUUGGCGCAGUGAAGUCCAACGGACCGGCGCUCUUCCGGGAGCCGGGAUGUUGGUUGACACUGUAUCAUUAGAGGAAGCAAAAGUGCUUCAAUAGAGG